GGCUGAGGUCACGUGCGGGGGAGUUUUGUGCGUACGUAGACGCGUCCGUGUGCGGGUGAGUUGCGGGGUGGGGCAAGUUGAUGAAUCCGAAUCCCUGAGCUCGUGGGCCGGAUUUUGCAUUUGAAAAGAACCGUGGUAAUAAACCUGCUGCCGUCGGGCUUCCGGCGGCUUCCCGUUCGCAACUCUUCGCGGAGUGUGUGUGUCACGAGGGAUAUGUGGGAUGUCCAGAUCCCUGAACUCCAGAGGCCAGGCAAGCAUCUAGGCCUCUGGCAUGACCACUGGGGAAGUGCCCUGAGGAAGCACCUGCUUACUCUUGCCGCCAUAUGCCUCCAAACUCAGAGGAAUCUGUAACUCCAGUGCAUAGAAAUGGAGAGUUUAAUCCAUGGGGAACACUCUGGAAUGCUGAGGAAAAAAAAAAUAAGCAAGAGUCAGGAAACCAGCUCCUAUAAAACGAUCGUCUGGCUUUACGUGUGUCCUACCAUCUUGGAGGAGUCAAAGACCACAUCACUGGGGACUGGUACCCCUGGAGCUAUCCACACCUAGGCUGGCCCAGCCGGGCAGACCAAUGGACAGCUUCUGACACAGAGACACCCUCGGACACCAGAGCCUUGAAUCUUCCUUUGCACCCAAAAGGGCGCUGUAUUCCACAAACCAGAUUACAACGAUGCCUUCGACUUCCCCACUUGGCCAUGUAAUGUGAUGGUUGGGAAUGUCGAGUCCACAUCAAGAAGGGCCCUGGAUUCAAGCCCUGCUUCUGCUCAUUCUUAGUCGUAAGACAUUCUUUCCAAACUUCAGUUUCUUCAUUUGUAAAAUGGGGGUUAAUGACACAUAUCUCUAAGUAUUUGUUGAACGGAUUAAAUAACAUCAUUUAUGAAAAUGAUUAGCAAACACGAUGUCUGGCACACCUCAGAAGUGAUUGUUUUGGUUAUCUAUCUAUAACUAGCUCCAAAAAUUUGAGCUUUGAAACAAUAACCACUUUAUUAUGUCUUCAUGGUUCUGUGGGUUGACUGGGAGACUGUCGGCCAGCUGGGCAGAUCUUCUGUCAGCAAGAACUGCAGCCAUCUAGAGGUCGUCUGUCUAGUGCCCAGCUUUUGUCCCCAAAGCUCAGAAGCACAGUUGCCAAGCCUUCAUAAGGCUUAGGCUCAGAAUUGGGGUAUUUUCUUCUCUGCCACAUCCUAUUUAUUAAUAUGACUCACAGAGCCAGUCCAGAUGCAUUGUGGGAGGACAGACUAUGCAAGGCCAUGAAUACUGGAGGCAUGGUUCACUGGCAGGUGUCUUUGGAAACCAACGGCUACAUUGAUCAAUAAAUGAUUUUUACAAUCAGAA